rnacentral:rRNA from 1 species
GUGCAGCAGGCGCGAAACUUUACAAUGUGCGAAAGCACGAUAAGGGAACUCUGAGUGCCUCCUAAGGAGGCUGUUCAGGUGUCUAAAAGCACCUGAAGGAAGGGCUGGGUAAGACCGGUGCCAGCCGCCGCGGUAACACCGGCAGCCCAAGUGGUAGCCACGUUUAUUGGGUCUAAAGCGUCCGUAGCCGGCUGGGUAAGUUCCUUGGGAAAUUUGGCUGCUUAACAGUCAAGCUUUCAGGGAAUACUGCUCGGCUUGGGACCGGGAGAGGUCAGAGGUACUCCAGGGGUAGGGGUGAAAUCCAUUAAAUCCUUGGGGGACCACCGGUAGCGAAGGCGUCUGACCAGACCGGGUCCGACGGUGAGGGACGAAGGCUAGGGGCGCGAACCGGAUUAGAUACCCCUGUAGU